CACAACUGCCACGUUGUUUGUAUUUGUCUACAGUGAAGAGAAACGUGAGCGAUUGGGAAAAGUGGCCCCUGGAAGCAUCUUUUUAGCAUCGCUGACUGCGUUUGAGACGCUCAUCUGAUAUAUAUUCCUUCCACUUCUGUACAUCCCGGGACAUCUUUUACAGCCACCUUAUCCACAUCAGCACAGAGUCCAAGCCCUCCAAGUCCACUAUACCUCCCACAAACAAACUGCCAGUGGAGAAAGAACUACAGUGUGGUGAAAAACCCUCGGAC